GGCUACGACAAGCCCGAUGGUUCCCGACGCCGACAAGGCGCCGGGAUUAAAAGGGAACGCGGUAGAACGACCCAAAUCGGGGUUCGAAGCCGUGGCUGCCCCCGCAACUGUGUGCGGCGAGCCGACUGUCCAUGUGACGCGCCACUGGGGAUACCUCCCCGGGAAGGCCGGACGGAAGGCAAGGACCCGCAAGCCAGGAGACCUGCCAUCGUGACUGCUUGAAC
rnacentral:ncRNA from 2 species